AGAGUUUGAUCCUGGCUCAGGACGAACGCUGGCGGCGUGCUUAACACAUGCAAGUCGAACGGUAAGGCCCUUCGGGGUACACGAGUGGCGAACGGGUGAGUAACACGUGGGUAAUCUGCCCUGCACAUCGGGAUAAGCCUGGGAAACUGGGUCUAAUACCGAAUAGGACCACAGGACACAUGUCCUGUGGUGGAAAGCUUUUGCGGUGUGGGAUGGGCCCGCGGCCUAUCAGCUUGUUGGUGGGGUGAUGGCCUACCAAGGCGACGACGGGUAGCCGGCCUGAGAGGGUGUCCGGCCACACUGGGACUGAGAUACGGCCCAGACUCCUACGGGAGGCAGCAGUGGGGAAUAUUGCACAAUGGGCGAAAGCCUGAUGCAGCGACGCCGCGUGGGGGAUGACGGCCUUCGGGUUGUAAACCUCUUUCACCAUCGACGAAGGUCCGGGUUUUCUCGGGCUGACGGUAGGUGGAGAAGAAGCACCGGCCAACUACGUGCCAGCAGCCGCGGUAAUACGUAGGGUGCGAGCGUUGUCCGGAAUUACUGGGCGUAAAGAGCUCGUAGGUGGUUUGUCGCGUUGUUCGUGAAGUCUCACGGCUUAACUGUGAGCGUGCGGGCGAUACGGGCAGACUUGAGUACUGCAGGGGAGACUGGAAUUCCUGGUGUAGCGGUGGAAUGCGCAGAUAUCAGGAGGAACACCGGUGGCGAAGGCGGGUCUCUGGGCAGUAACUGACGCUGAGGAGCGAAAGCGUGGGGAGCGAACAGGAUUAGAUACCCUGGUAGUCC
rnacentral:rRNA from 1 species